UAUUGGACAAUGGGCGAAAGCCUGAUCCAGCCAUGCCGCGUGUGUGAAGAAGGUCUUCGGAUUGUAAAGCACUUUAAGUUGGGAGGAAGGGCAGUAAAUUAAUACUUUGCUGUUUUGACGUUACCGACAGAAUAAGCACCGGCUAACUCUGUGCCAGCAGCCGCGGUAAUACAGAGGGUGCAAGCGUUAAUCGGAAUUACUGGGCGUAAAGCGCGCGUAGGUGGUUCGUUAAGUUGGAUGUGAAAUCCCCGGGCUCAACCUGGGAACUGCAUUCAAAACUGACGAGCUAGAGUAUGGUAGAGGGUGGUGGAAUUUCCUGUGUAGCGGUGAAAUGCGUAGAUAUAGGAAGGAACACCAGUGGCGAAGGCGACCACCUGGACUGAUACUGACACUGAGUGCGAAA
rnacentral:rRNA from 1 species